CCUACGGGAGGCAGCAGUGAGGAAUAUUGGUCAAUGGACGAGAGUCUGAACCAGCCAAGUAGCGUGAAGGAUGACUGCCCUAUGGGUUGUAAACUUCUUUUAUAAAGGAAUAAAACGAGGCACGUGUGCCUUUUUGCAUGUACUUUAUGAAUAAGGAUCGGCUAACUCCGUGCCAGCAGCCGCGGUAAUACGGAGGAUCCGAGCGUUAUCCGGAUUUAUUGGGUUUAAAGGGAGCGUAGAUGGGUUGUUAAGUCAGUUGUGAAAGUUUGCGGCUCAACCGUAAAAUUGCAAUUGAUACUGGCAGUCUUGAGUACAGGUGAGGUAGGCGGAAUGCGAGGUGUAGCGGUGAAAUGCUUAGAUAUCACGAAGAACCCCGAUUGCGAAGGCAGCAUACUAAACUGUGACUGACAUUGAUGCUCGAAAGUGUGGGUAUCAAACAGGAUUAGAUACCCCUGUAGUC
rnacentral:rRNA from 1 species